UACGGGGGGGGCAAGCGUUGUUCGGAAUUACGGGGCGUAAAGGGUGCGUAGGCGGCCUUCUAAGUUGGAUGUGAAAACUAUGGGCUCAACCCAUAGCCUGCAUCCAAAACUGGAGAGCUUGGGUUCUGGAGGGGAAAGCGGAAUUCCUGGUGUAGCGGUGAAAUGCGUAGAUAUCAGGAGGAACACCGGUGGCGAAGGCGGCUUUCUGGACAGACACCGACGCUGAGGCACGAAAGCUAGGGGAGCAAACAGG
rnacentral:rRNA from 1 species